rnacentral:lncRNA from 1 species
AUGAAACAACUAUAUUUACAUUUCCUCCGGGAGAGCCAACGCAGCACUGCACGGAGUUCUCCUAAAGCAACAGCAUGUACCAACCAGGAGCUCAGUUUCAAAGCAGCACCACUGGAGAGGAGGAAAAACACACGAUCGCCUAGGCAGGGUACUGGAAGCGCUGCCAUCAGCGCAAAGCCAACCUCGGGGUGGACUACAUUCAGCAGCAACACUGGUUAUAUAUGGAGAACAGAAAACAAGAAGACCCAAGCCCAAGAAAAAAAGCAGACAGAAGUCCUAACUCCUCUUCAUGCAAGAAGACAUCUUAAUGUAGGAGGGACUUUCUUCCUUCUUACUGCUUGGAGCUGAACCAAAGAGGUACCUGAAUGUUUUUCUCCAUCCGUGUGUGUACUCAGUAAAACUGUUAUAUUAUGUACGAAAACCAUCAGUAAAUGACAAGUUAUGAAUUGCAAUGACCAUGUUCUCCUCACACUGCCAGGGUGGUGGCUAAGUGCCCUGGGGUCUGAGUGUAGAAUUCUGCACAGGUAUACAAAAAUAAGCCUUGUUACGGGUUGCCACCAGCUGUGGUAGUAGAGAGCUCCUUAUGAUCCAGUGGUCUGCAGUUCUAAUUUCAGCAUAUUGCCCUGCACCAAGUUCUGUGCUUACAGUAUAUGCAACAUUAUGCUGCUUACCUUAUGUAAGCUAGCUAGGUAGCUGCAGAAAAUCUGCAACCAUACCUGGUAGCUCAGAACAUUUUUCUUAAUCAUACAAUCACAUUUGGAUGGUAUUGAUGGUGAUAUUUUUGUAGAGGACUUAUGGCUUUGAAAUAUUAAAGCAUGUCACAGUUUAUUUAUUUCUUUUGCAAAAUACCUGAGAUAAGAGAAAUACCAUUAUUUUGUUUUGUAAACAGAUGACUGAAGAUGUGUAUUGACAACACACUAAAGUCACUUUUAAGAUUCAUAGUUCUAGAUCAAAAGUAUUGUGCAGAGUGAUGGUCUAGCAUAAACUCACACAGAUGGCUCAGACUGCUUCAGACAAGCACCAUGCACAGAUAUAGUUUUAGGCCCAUGUUAGUAACUUCAUUUAUAAGUUCCUUUUGGCAUUCCAUACCCAGUAACCAUAGACUAAUUCUUGAAGAAAAGUCACAGAGAGAAAGAUUUUCCUCUCAACAUUCAGAAAAAAGAGGCUAAGAAAGGAUGCCUAGAAAUCUGAGAAUGUAGUAAUGGGCAGCUUGGGCCCUUCCGAGAAGCAAUGGGUAACAAAUUGUUUUGCAUCAAAAGCUUUCAUCCAGAUUGUGAUCUAUAUGGGGGUUAAAACUCAAAGUGCUUCAAGACUGACAAUUCCAUGAUAUGUUAAUUUGGAAAAGGUUUGUUUGUUUGUUUGUUUGUCUGUUUUCCUUCUCCUAUAAAUGUAUAGAACUACACAGACAUCUAUUUCUUCUUUUUAUUAAAAUAAACAAUUUUCUUCCCUCUACCAUGUUUCUCUCCUGAUAUAUCUUUGAAGAUUCUGCAAAGGUUAUAUUUAAAGAAAACAACACUAUUUUCCUAUUAUAGUUUUCAGUUUAUGAAAAUAAUUGCAAGGACUAUAUAUUAAAAUAACACUAAGCAUGUUCAUUAAGGACACACUUUUCAGGAAAUUAAAAUUUAUCAGUCUUUUUUAUUUGUCUAAGGUGUUUGUCAAGGGUGUUUCCUCCAUUCUGUCUGGUAACUGCAGAUAUCAAUAACUUCUUACAUACUUAUACACUGCCAAGGAGAUGUGAGCUCUGGCAUACCAGCUUGUCAGCUUUAAGCCUGAAUUUUUGUACACUGGAGACAGCUGGAGAGAAGGCCUUAUCAGAGGCCCAUUAAUACUUUUACAAAAGCAGACCUUGUGCAGUAAGAAUUACCUAGUUUGCUCAUGAAUUGCCUUCAGAAGAGCAGAAGUCUUUGGUAGCUAAGAACUAAUUGCUUGUUUUCCUAAUUGUUUUGAUGCUACAGGAACAACUGAGGUAACUGAGCAGAACUGAGCAGUCAACUGUGCUCUAGAAAUGAGAGUUCCUCAUACAGGUAUUUACAUGAGCCACUGCAACUCAGACAGCAUCUGUCUACAGGUUGACAAAUCAGUCAUCUUUAUGCCUUCCUUAGAAGAAACCAUUGAUAUUUGUAACAUUGAAUCUAUUAUUCUGAAUAGAACAAGCACACUUUUAUGGACCUAAUGCUAUAGGAAACUAACUACUGCUUGAAUUACUUUCUGUAAUCCAGACAAGCUUUCAAAUAAAUUCAUUUUUGGGGGGAUUUUUCAUCUAAGUCUCUCUUCAUAUCCUUACCUUUGUCCUUGUUAGUGAGCCAUUCUGCUACAAGCUGGGUUUCUUUGGUCUUUCUAUGAGGCUGCAGACCAUGUGUAUGAGGUGUUGACAACACGUAGACAGGACUUCCAGUCUGAGUGUUGGCCAUUGUUUUACUACUUUUUGAAGACAACCAUAUACUCUAGGCCAAGUGCAUAGGGGAAAAUGCGUAUAAGAGAAAAAAGUUGUAAGAACUUUUUAAAAAGUGAAAGAGGGAGAAGCAUCUGUGUGAUUUAAAAUGCAAGCACUGCCAAACAGAAAACAUUCAAAGUCCUGGCAUUCAUUGAUUAAAUGUCAUUUUGCCACAUGUGCACUUGAAAACAGCUCUCCUAGCUGUCAAAAACCAGGUGACAUUGAUUCUGUUUCCCAAGUUCAGAAAAUGUGUCUCAAGUGAUUGAAUCCCUAGGAAGAAGAGUCAUGGAGAAAAUCCAAAACAGUAUUUUCUUUUCAUGUGGAUUUUACUGUUCAGGGAAUAUAGAUGCAAACUGAAUAUAAUCUUCAGUGAAGGGGAAUAAAUUAAUAAAAUACUAGAGUAAAUGUCUAAGCUUUUUUAUUCACUAGUGUUCUAGUUUCAUGCUUUUUAAAAUAACACUGAAAUUAAUGAAUAUAUGUGAUUUUAG